GAAGUAGAACUUGUUACGACUCUUUAAAAACUUCGGAAGCAGAAUAGUCGACAUGUAUACAUUUACAUUGAAAUUAUAUGAACAUUCAUGAAUACGAUUUCUCACUUCUUCGAACUCUUUGUUUGCAUUUCUAUGUACAGCAAUCAAGAAAAUUUUACAACUUUCGUUAAAUAAGCGUUGCUCAGAUUUUUUAGGGCAACUUACUUCUCCGUUCGUUUCUCUUGCUUUGAUACACGUAUUUUAAUUGUCUCGUUUUUCGUGAGAAAUACUUCAGAAAAGGUGAAUUUGUUGUUGCUCGACGAUCGUCAUCCGUAACGCAUCCACGAAUCUGGUUAAUUCUUCCAUUAAGAAUUUCUUUGGACUGUCUUUCCCUCGAAUACCUACACCUACAGCAUCAUUUCCACCACUGUUUCGACGCCGCUGCCACUGCCACCACUCUACAAACGGACUAUUUUACCGUUCAAACUCAUUCGUCAUCGUGGCAGUUUCUGCUUUCCUAUUUCACGCGGAACACGUUUCUCUUUAUUCUAACCUUUUACGAGGAGACUGAUGCACACAAGAUGCUUGUCGCGCAAAACUAUUUCAACAGACUCAACUUGUAUGCUCGGCGGAAAAUGUUCGUCUGUAAACAAUAACAGCUGUUCUUGUUGCACGCGCCAUGUUGUAACUAUAUGCAGAACAUAUUUUAUAUAGGAUUAUGAUACUUGAUUAAGAAGUAUAGGUAAAGCAUUUAUACAUCAUUAUAAACAAUUUUCAAAAAUUGAAAAUGUAUUGUUUGUAUAUUCAAAAAAUGAUCAAUUAAAGCAGUGUACACAUAAGAUAGAAUUAACAAAAAUAAAUAUAACUUUAUUUAAGAAA